rnacentral:tRNA from 1 species
GCGGGUGUGGCGGAAUCGGUAGACGCGGUCCACUCGCAAUGGACUGGGCGAGAGCCCGUGGGAGUGCGGCUGCGGAAACCCGCCUUCGGCGGUCCUCGCCGUGCUUCGCAACGAGUCUCCCCACCCGCA